rnacentral:rRNA from 1 species
CCUACGGGUGGCAGCAGUAGGGAAUCUUCCACAAUGGGCGAAAGCCUGAUGGGGCAACGCCGCGUGGGUGAAGAAGGUCUUCGGAUCGUAAAACCCUGUUGUUAGAGAAGAAAGUGCGUGAGAGUAACUGUUCACGUUUCGACGGUAUCUAACCAGAAAGCCACGGCUAAAUACGGGCCAGCAGCCGCGGCAAUUCGUAGGUGGCAAGCGUUAUCCGGUUUUAUUGGGCGUAAAGGGACCGCAGGCGUUCUUUUAAGUCUGAUGUGAAAGCCUUCGGCUUAACCGGAGUAGUGCAUUGGAAACUGGGCGACUUGGGUGCAGAAGAGGAGAGUGGAACUCGAUGUGUAGCGGUGAAAUGCGUAGAUAUAUGGAAGAACACCAGUGGCGAAAGCAGCUCUCUGGUCUGUAACUGACGCCGAGGUUCGAAAGCGUGGGUAGCAAACAGGAUUAGAUACCCGAGUAGUC